rnacentral:rRNA from 1 species
AUUGAACGCUGGCGGCAGGCCUAACACAUGCAAGUCGAGCGGAGCGGCGGACGGGCGAGGGAGGCCUAGGAAUCAGCAUGCUAGUGGGGGAUGGGGUACGGAAACGGGCGCUAAUACCGCAUACUAGCAGUUGAGCCUUGGUCGGUUUAGCUAGUUGGUGGGGUAAAGGCCUACCAAGGCGAGCAUCCGUACCUGGCCUGAGAGGAUGAACAGUCACACUGGACCUGAGACACGGGCCAGACUCCUACGGGAGGCAGCAGUGGGGAAUAUUGGACAAUGGGCGAAAGCCUGAUCCAGCCAUGCCGCGUGUGUGAAGAAGGUCUUCGGAUUGUAAAGCACGUUAAGCUGGGAGGCGUUACCAGCAGAAUAAGCACCGGCUAACUUCGUGCCAGCAGCCGCGGUAAUUC